rnacentral:rRNA from 1 species
UACGUAGGGGGCAAGCGUUGUCCGGAUUUAUUGGGCGUAAAGCGCUCGCAGGCGGCCCGAUGCGUCGUGCGUGAAACACCCCGGCUCAACUGGGCGGGGUCAGCGGAUACGGUGUGGCUCGAGCAAGCUAGGGGGCAAUGGAAUUCCCGGUGUAGUGGUGGAAUGCGUAGAUAUCGGGAGGAACACCAGUGGCGAAGGCGGUUGCCUGGAGCUUUGCUGACGCUGAGGCGCGAAAGCGUGGGGAGCGAUCCGG